AGGGUUUGAUUCUGGCUCAGGAUGAACGCUGGCGGCAUGCCUAAUACAUGCAAGUCGAACGCCGGAAGGACAGAGCCUGCUCUGUCCGGAAGGAGUGGCGAACGGGUGAGUAACACGUAGACAACCUGCCUGUGAGACCGGGAUAACGGAUGGAAACGUCUGCUAAUACCGGAUAGGUAGAGAGGAGGCAUCUUCUCUCUAUUAAAGUCGGGACACGACGCUGACAGAUGGAUCUGCGGUGCAUUAGCUAGUUGGCGGGGCAACGGCCCACCAAGGCGAUGAUGCAUAGCCGGCCUGAGAGGGUGGACGGCCACAUUGGGACUGAGACACGGCCCAA
rnacentral:rRNA from 1 species